rnacentral:rRNA from 1 species
CAGUAGCCGCGGUAAUACAGAGGGUGCGAGCGUUAAUCGGAUUUACUGGGCGUAAAGCGUGCGUAGGCGGCUUUUUAAGUCGGAUGUGAAAUCCCCGAGCUUAACUUGGGAAUUGCAUUCGAUACUGGUUAGCUAGAGUGUGGGAGAGGAUGGUAGAAUUCCAGGUGUAGCGGUGAAAUGCGUAGAGAUCUGGAGGAAUACCGAUGGCGAAGGCAGCCAUCUGGCCUAACACUGACGCUGAGGUACGAAAGCAUGGGGAGCAAACAGGAUUAGAUACCCCUGUAGUCCCUGUCUCUUAUAA